rnacentral:rRNA from 1 species
AGUGAACGCUGGCGGUAGGCCUAACACAUGCAAGUCGAACGGCAGCACAGUAAGAGCUUGCUCUUACGGGUGGCGAGUGGCGGACGGGUGAAGAAUACAUCGGAAUCUACUUUUUCGUGGGGGAUAACGUAGGGAAACUUACGCUAAUACCGCAUGCGACCUACGGGUGAAAGCAGGGGAUCUUCGGACCUUGCGCGAUUGAAUGAGCCGAUGUCGGAUUAGCUAGUUGGCGGGGUAAAGGCCCACCAAGGCGACGAUCCGUAGCUGGUCUGAGAGGAUGAUCAGCCACACUGGAACUGAGACACGGUCCAGACUCCUACGGGAGGCAGCAGUGGGGAAUAUUGGACAAUGGGCGCAAGCCUGAUCCGGCCAUACCGCGUGGGUGAAGAAGGCCUUCGGGUUGUAAAGCCCUUUUGUUGGGAAAGAAAAGCAGCAGGUUAAUACCCCGCUGUUCUGACGGUACCCAAAGAAUAAGCACCGGCUAACUUCGUG